UCGAUAACCUUUAUUUAUACUAAGUAUUGAAGAUAGAUAUAUACAUCAAAUAUGUUUAAGGUAAGUUAGUAAUCUAGUUUAAGAAAAAAAAAGACGCAACAGUAAAUUAUCUUUGCCAUGUAGAAUUAAAUGAUCAAUUUAGCAAAUAAUAAAAGUAAUCAUCUGUUAUUUUUUUCUAAACCUAUAUUGAGUGGACUCUUUUCUGAACUGAAUAAUUGAGUGCAUUUCUGUAGAUUCGUCUCCAACCUAUAAGAUAAUGAUAAUAAACGCUUAAUAUAAUUACAAGGGUAUAAUUUAGGAACAUAUCAACAUCCAUUUGCCGGAUGUAUGACGAACGAGUGUAGAAUAGAAAAGUAUACAAAUAAUAAAGAUAGUCGAAGAGGCCAGGCGUAUUAAGGCGUUGAUUGUUUCCGUUAGUUUUUUUUGUUUUAGUUUUUGGUUUUUAAAUUUUGAUUUUAUAUUUUGACUUUUGAUUUUUAAUUUUUAACUUUUAGGUUUUUUUUUAUUUUCAGUUUUUGGUUUUGGUUUUUGGUUUUUAAUUUUUAAAUUUUGGUUUUGUAUUCUUAGUUUUUUUUUAUUAUAAAAUAAGCAAUACAUUAUUUUAAAAUAAUAAAAUAAAUAGCGAUAAAGUAUUUAAAAUUUAAAAAAAUAUAGUCGUUGUUAUUUAAAAUAAAAAUUACCAUGUAAUUUUUUAAGUAUUAUACUAAAAUAUAAUUAAUAAAAUAUCUAUAAUUUGUAAAAGAUUAAAAAAUUUAAAAUUUUGAAACUAUUAAAAAUUUUAUUACAUAAAUUAUUUUUCAUUUUUUAAACUUGAAUGGCUAUUUUCAAAUCAAUAUAAUAUAUUGUAUUAAUAAAAUAUUUUAAGUUCUUAUAAUUUUUAGUUGUUGUUUACUGUCUAAUAAUUAUUAAUAUUAUUCAAUAAUUUAUUUAAUAGAAAUUAGUAACAAAUUUUUACAGUUAAAACUAAAAAUAUCUAUAUUUAUUUACAGAUAUGAAACACAAAUAAAUUAUUUUACAUUAAUAUUAAAAUGAUAAAAUGUUUUUAGGAAUUUUAUCGUUAUGAACAUAUUAUUUAUUUAUUUUUUAAUUAAUUAAAAUACGGUAUUUUAUAAAAAAUAAACCAAAAUUCAUUUUUAUAUUGAAAACCCACAAAAGUUGGUUUUUGGCUUGUU
rnacentral:lncRNA from 1 species